GACGAACGCUGGCGGCGUGCUUAACACAUGCAAGUCGAACGGUGAAGCGCCUUCCUUUUUGGUGGGUGUGGAUGAGUGGCGAACGGGUGAGUAACACGUGAGUAACCUGCCCCCUUCUUCUGGAUAACCGCAUGAAAGUGUGGCUAAUACGGGAUAUUCUGGGUCUGUCGCAUGAUGGGUCUGGGAAAGAUAUUGUUUCGGUGGGGGAUGGGCUCGCGGCCUAUCAGCUUGUUGGUGGGGUGAUGGCCUACCAAGGCGGGGGCGGGUAGCCGGCCCGAGAGGGUGGACGGUUACACUGGGACUGAGACACGGGCCAGACUCCCACGGGAGGGAGCGGGUGGGAAUAGUGGAAAAUGGGCGCAAGCCUGAUUCAGGCACGCCGCGUGAGGGAUGGAGGCCUUCGGGUUGUGAACCUCUUUCGCCAGUGAAGCAGGCCUGCCUCGUUUGUGGGUGGGUUGACGGUAGCUGGAUAAGAAGCGCCGGCUAACUACGUG
rnacentral:rRNA from 1 species